GACGGAUUCAGUCCCAAGAAGCUAAAGUUUUUCAAAGACAUUUGUAGGGAGGACUUUGCAGCUAAUGAUUUCCUUAGGCUGAACCAAAACCUGCCAGACUAAAGUUGAUUUGGGAGAGAAAGACGUUGUAAACUCACUCAUCUUGACAUUCUUCAAUGAGUAAUUGUUCAAUUUUUAGGCAAAUACUGUACACUUUGAAUGGUGUGAAUAAAACUAUAUUUUAAAUAUAUUUAAAAUGAA